GGUAGUUAUUGUAUGAUAUUAUUGCAUGCUAUUUUAUUUAUGUUUCUUAUAUUUAGAUAAUUAUUUACGCUAUUUUUGCUAGAGUUACUAAUGUUCUUUUGUUUUUGUUUUUAUUUUUUCUUUUCUUCGCUGAGCAGAGGGUCGAUUAGAAACAGCCUCUAUGCCCUUUCGGUUAGGGGUAAGGCUCGUCUACAUAUUAUCUUCUUCAGACCCCACUUUAUGAGACUAUACUGGAUAGUAAUUGUUGUUGUUGUGGUAAAUUGAAGCUUCAAUGAGACUUCCCUUUCUAUGCAAAACCCACUUGAUAAGAGAAGAGGCACUAUGACUACUUUGAGCUUUUUUUUUUCUGGUAAUUAAGAGUUUUUAUUAAUCAUCAAAGUGGAAAUCAUUAUAAAAUCAUAGUCUAGCUAUUCUCGAAGCUGACUAUCUUAUGGCAUCACUCAAAAACUGCUAUACAAAAUGGGACUACACUGUCUUCAUUUUCUAUAUAUGAAGGUGUUCUAGGUAUUGUCUAAUUCGUGAAGUGCCUCUUAGAUUACAUAUAUAUACUAUCUCUCACAGAAUGUUAGAGUUGCAUCUUGCUGUGUUGUUGAACAGCCUGGUAUUCCUUUUCAUCCAUAUUGCAUAGGUUACCUCUGCAGCUACCAUUUUGAAAGUUGCUGCCUUGCUUGUUCUGCCUUUGGCAUGGUGCAGUAGCCACUGUAGGUGUUGAUCCCAGUCAUUUGCUGCGCAAAAGGGUUGCUGCAGCCAUUGCAUCACUUUCUUCCAUAGGUCUAUUGUGGUUGGGCAGUGAGCCACGAGGUGAUCUCUUGUCUCCAGUGGGUGUUGACUCAGGGAACAGUUUGUUUCACAAGUCAUGCCCCAAUUCUGCAGUCUGUCUUUGGUGGGCAGUCUGUUCUGUAGGGCAAGCCAGAAGUGGAAUGUGGCUCUUGGUCUUGAGGAGAGGUGAUCUCUUGUCUCCAGUGGGUGUUGACACUGGAUACAGUUUGUUUCACAAAUUAUACCCCAAUUUGUAGUCUGUCUUUGGUGGGCAGUCAGUUUUGUAGGGCAAGCCAGAAGUGGAAUGUGGCGACUACUACGAGCUUUGUUCUUGCCUUCUUGUAAUAAUAUUAUUCUAGAUAAUCUUUUCUGCUCGGCUGCUUUACAAAUAUCCUCCAAUUAAUUAAUUGAUUUAUCUGGACCUUUGGAGAAAAUUUUUACAUUAUUCUUAAUAUUUUAUAAUGAUAUAUAUUCUUUCUCUUUUAAUUUCUUGUCCUACUUUUUUGUAACUUUUGUUUUUAAUAUUUUCCUAUAAAUAACGGGUCUUAAUUUCAUUUUAUUGUGUAAGGAAUUUGUACUUUCGAGAAUCUUCAUGAAAGUCCAAGUAUAUUCUAUUAGA
rnacentral:lncRNA from 1 species